AGAGACAGCAGCCGCCACGGGAAUACAGAGGGUGCGAGCGUUAAUCGGAUUUACUGGGCGUAAAGCGUGCGUAGGCGGCUAAUUGAGUCGGAUGUGAAAUCCCCGAGCUUAACUUGGGAAUUGCAUUCGAUACUGGUUAGCUAGAGUGUGGGAGAGGAUGGUAGAAUUCCAGGUGUAGCGGUGAAAUGCGUAGAGAUCUGGAGGAAUACCGAUGGCGAAGGCAGCCAUCUGGCCUAACACUGACGCUGAGGUACGAAAGCAUGGGGAGCAAACAGGAUUAGAUACCCCAGUAGUCCCUGUCUCUUAUAC
rnacentral:rRNA from 1 species